GACGAACGCUGGCGGCGUGCUUAACACAUGCAAGUCGAACGGAAAGGCCCUGCUUUUGUGGGGUGCUCGAGUGGCGAACGGGUGAGUAACACGUGAGUAACCUGCCCUUGACUUUGGGAUAACUUCAGGAAACUGGGGCUAAUACCGGAUAGGAGCUCCUGCUGCAUGGUGGGGGUUGGAAAGUUUCGGCGGUUGGGGAUGGACUCGCGGCUUAUCAGCUUGUUGGUGGGGUAGUGGCUUACCAAGGCUUUGACGGGUAGCCGGCCUGAGAGGGUGACCGGCGACAUUGGGACUGCGAUACGGCCCAGACGGCUACGGGAGGCAGCAGGGGGGAAUAUUGCACAAUGGGCGGAAGCCUGAUGCAGAAACGCCGCGUGCGUGAUGACGGCCUUCGGGUUGUAAACCGCUGUCGCCUGUGACGAAGCGUGAGUGACGGUAAUGGGUAAAGAAGCACCGGCUAACUACGUG
rnacentral:rRNA from 1 species